rnacentral:sRNA from 1 species
CUUUUUAUUAUUAUUCGAGAUGAUCAUG